AAAUCUUGUAAUCCUUGAAGGACCACCAGUGGCGAAGGUGUCUCACCAGAACGGACCUGACGGCAAGGGACGAAAGCUAGGGGCACGAACCGGAUUAGAUACCCGGGUAGUCCUAGCCGUAAACGAUACUCGCUAGGUGUCGGCCACGGUGCGACCGUUGUCGGUGCCGUAGGGAAGCCGUGAAGCGAGCCACCUGGGAAGUACGGCCGCAAGGCUGAAACUUAAAGGAAUUGGCGGGGGAGCACCACAACGGGUGGAGCUUGCGGUUUAAUUGGAUUCAACGCCGGAAAUCUUACCGGGACCGACAGCAAUAUGAAGGCCAGGCUGAAGACUUUGCCGGAUUAGCUGAGAGGUGGUGCAUGGCCGUCGUCAGUUCGUACUGUGAAGCAUCCUGUUAAGUCAGGUAACGAGCGAGACCC
rnacentral:rRNA from 1 species